UUCAACUGAAAAAUAAUAAAUAAUCAUUUCUGGCAAUAAAGUACAAUAGCCUCUGUGUGUUUUAUUCUGGAUAUACAAUUGAUAAAGUGUCGUGAAUUAAAUGUAUUUGAUAUCAAGCCAUAGAUUGAAAUUCCGUUAAAGCAAAGAUUACUUAAAAUUAAAUGAAGAGCCUUCGUUGACGCCAUAAAGCAUUCCGCUAUCAACUCAAGCAUCAAGCUGUCAAGAGCACAAGCGGCGCGUUGUUUGAUAUUAAAGCCUCGAGACUCUCAUAUAAGUUUACUAUACAUUUACAUAUAUUCCCAGACCUUGUUUAUUCCUUGAAAAUAUAUGUGCUGUCCUCAAAUUGUCUCGAGAAAUUAAUUGAACGUCAUACCCUUCAUACGUAUUCCAUACGUCGUAAUAUUAUAUUAUUUCACUGAAAUAACAAGGCAGUUUAAAAUUAAUUAAAGUACCUUUCUCGGUGUCACAAUCCGUCCGUUGCGGAUUCUCGCAACAUCCAUCCUGAUUUCAAUCUCGAUUUCGAACCGUGUGUCGAGAAAAGUCGGAUUCUGCAAAGUUAUUUGAGAUGCGCACGGACAUGAUUGCAUCGACGCUACAGCAACGGUGCUUUCUCACGUCCGUUUUGAUCUGGCGCCGUAAGCGUUAUCCCGAAAUAGUGCAAGUUGCGAGAAAAGUGGAAAUACUACUCAGCGGAAAUACAUGACAAGCAAGUAGAUGCUUCAUAAGGGGCUCAUACAUACGCCUGUGCGCGCGCUCGGAAAGAUUCAAGAUAUCAGCGUCAAGUGCAAUUUACACUAUCGCGCUUUAGCGGGAGAUUCUCGCCGGCGGGUACUUAGAGCGUUAAACGUAUCUCGGUUAAAUCCGGCAAAGGUACGUGCUUUGGCACUGCUCAUCUCGGCCGGUAUCAGCGCCGCGGCGUAAUAACAAGGCCGCUGUGACUUCCUGAAUAAUUUUCGCAGCACGUGCUUUGCUGUAGCGGAAAAAGACUUCGCGGGUAUCAGAGACAUUCUUUAACCUUCCCUCACUUCACCCUUCCUCGAGCGCUCGGGCGAUACGCGAAUGAUACACGAGCGGGAGACAACGCACAAUUUUCCGCAAGAGAGCGAGACAGGAUGAGAGAGAGAGAGAGAGAGAGAAGGAUGGAGACGAGUCACAAUUUGUAGCCGUUGACAGGUAAGCCCGGUAAUUUAUGAUCCGGCAACGCCGGAUGUCAUAGCGGUCGGGUUUUAGAGCGGUGGUUUCCGCCAACUUACCUGAAAUACAAGGGUCACCGCGGAAAAAUGCGUUGCCUUAUUGCGUGCUUAAGGAUUUAUGCGUGUUACCACAACGUCGUUUCGCUGAUCUCUCUCUCUCUCUCCCUUUCUCUCUCUUCACUUUCUUCUCUCUCUCCUUCUCAUGUGCCACGCGUGCAUUUGCAACGGACAUCUCGCGUUUUCCGUGCCGCGAAGUUUAAUCGUCCCGGUAGCUACUCGCGAUUACGCUAAGGUUACUCGUAAAGCGUAUAAGCGCGCUGGCACACUUAGGAGAAACUAAACGAGGACCUGUCUGUGAAUGUCAUCUUGCUAAUAUAUGUAAGUGCCUUCAAGCGCGCACGACGCACGCUGCUUUGCAUUCCGUUGAAGUAAAAUUGCGCUUAAUAUCAGCCGAAAGAUAAUGUCUCCCUGUGCCGCAGCGCUUUGCAACGCGAGACGGGUAAUACGCCACUCUCUUUCUCUCUCUCUCUCUCUCUCUCUUGAUCGUACGUGUUUCGAAGGGAUAUGGGAGUCUCACGCGCGAAACGCAAAAUCCUCGCAGGAUCCGAUUUCGCGGGAUUAAAGUUUUUAACCGCCGUAAUUGAGUGCCGAGCGAGCCGCCGAGUCAAGCGGCGGAUGAGCGCGCGAUGAAACGUUAUCGGUGUUAUCCGGACUCGAGAUUGUUAUUUUACGCGAACAUUCGGCGAGUACGUCGUAAUAUGCAUACGCGGGCAGCAGCAUCUGCGAGCGCGGCACGCGUUCUACAACGGGGCGCGCUCAAGGAAGGAUUUAUCGAUCACAGCUAAGAAUAAACACUGCUGCAACAUGAGAAGAAAUUAAAUCUUCCCAUUGUGGAAACAAUGACUAAGAAUCAAGACUCCCAAAGGAUCAGGAUGAACGGAGCCCGGAUACGCGGCUUUGGCGUACUAGCCGGAGACCUGUAACUUGCGGCGAAGGACGGAGAGAACGGGCGGACUUUCGAUACGGUAUUUGCGCGGCGACUUUAAGGGUGAAUAAAAAGAUCAGCAUCUCGUUGGCGCAACAAUGAUGUAUGCUACACGAGUGGGUACAGAGCUAAGUUUACCUUCGCGUCGAACUUCAGACCGGGGAGAUCUCACGACAGGAAACCACGCGGCGUAUAUCGGAAAGAGAGAUACCGGACGGUGGGAUUGAAGGCAUUCCAGAACGCGGAGUGAAAACUUGUUCGACCGUAAGGAACAGCUAGCGGUAGUACCAGCACGUAGCCACUUGCUAACGCAUUUCUUCGAGCAUCGCAAUAGCAUGAGCAUGACGCCGCAAGUAUAUCGGAAGGCAAACGAACGGUGUAAGCGUCGCACGUUUUGAAGGAAGAUCGAUAUCGUCGAGAAGAUCCGAAAUUGAAUUUCCCAGCGGAGCCACCCUUCUUGUAUCACCGUUGGCUUGGCGACGGACUAAUAAAAGAAUGUGCGGAACGCGAUUAGCGCUUUGGGAAAAAAAAUUCUGUCUUUCACGGUUUCGUUCGUGGCUCAAGAUACGAGCGUUCACGCGAGAGGAACUCGACGGGUCCUAUUCAAAAGGACGACUUCCAUUCAAGAGGCUACGCGCAAAAGUAGUUAACUCUAAUAUGUUCGGAUGUCUACACGGAAAAGAGGAAUUAGCUGUCCAUAUAUUACAACUGAAAUUUUGUUACCAAACCUAGUUCUUAGCUGAAAAUUAGGUACGGAGACAAAAUUAACGAAAUUUCAAUUAUAUUGUAACGACAGCUAAUUUUUACCUGUGGCAGCUAGUUUUUA